UACGUAGGGGGCAAGCGUUGUCCGGAAUCAUUGGGCGUAAAGCGCGUGUAGGCGGCCCGGUAAGUCCGCUGUGAAAGUCGGGGGCUCAACCCUCGAAUGCCGGUGGAUACUGUCGGGCUCGAGUGCGGAAGAGGCGAGUGGAAUUCCUGGUGUAGCGGUGAAAUGCGCAGAUAUCAGGAGGAACACCGAUUGCGAAGGCAGCUCGCUGGGACGUUACUGACGCUGAGACGCGAAAGCGUGGGGAGCAAACAGG
rnacentral:rRNA from 1 species